rnacentral:rRNA from 1 species
UACAGAGGGUGCGAGCGUUGUCCGGAAUUACUGGGCGUAAAGCGUGCGUAGGCGGUUCGUUAAGUCUGCUGUGAAAGCCCCGGGCUCAACCUGGGAAUGGCAGUGGAUACUGGCGAGCUAGAGUGUGAUAGAGGAUGGUGGAAUUCCCGGUGUAGCGGUGAAAUGCGUAGAGAUCGGGAGGAACAUCAGUGGCGAAGGCGGCCAUCUGGAUCAACACUGACGCUGAGGCACGAAAGCGUGGGGAGCAAACAGGG